rnacentral:rRNA from 1 species
UACAGAGGUGGCAAGCGUUGUUCGGAUUUACUGGGCGUAAAGGGUGCGUAGGUGGUUGCGUGGGUCGGAUGUGAAAUCUCACCGUCCAACUGUGAAACUGCAUUCGAAACUGCGGAACUAGAGUACAGGAGGGGAGAGCGGAAUUCUCGGUGUAGCGGUGAAAUGCGUGGAUAUCGAGAAGAACGCCGGUGGCGAAGGCGGCUCUCUGGACUGAUACUGACACUGAUGCACGAAAGCUGGGGGAGCAAACAGG